rnacentral:sRNA from 1 species
GGUUGACCUCGGAUCAGGUAGGGAUACCCGCUGAACUUAAGCAUAUCAAUAAGCGGAGGAAAAGAAACCACAGGGAUUGCCUCAGUAACGGCGAGUGAAGCGGCAACAGCUCAAAUUUGAAAUCUGGCCCCUCCGGGGUCCGAGUUGUAAUUUGCAGAGGAUGCUUCGGGUUCGGCUCCGGUCUAAGUUCCUUGGAACAGGACGUCACAGAGGGUGAGAAUCCCGUACGUGACCGGCCGCCACGCCCGUGUGAAGCUCCUUCGACGAGUCGAGUUGUUUGGGAAUGCAGCUCAAAAUGGGUGGUAAAUUUCAUCUAAAGCUAAAUAUUGGCCAGAGACCGAUAGCGCACAAGUAGAGUGAUCGAAAGAUGAAAAGCACUUUGGAAAGAGAGUCAAACAGUACGUGAAAUUGUUGAAAGGGAAGCGCUUGCAAUCAGACUUGCCCGCGGGUGAUCAGCCGGUAUUCUUACCGGUGCACUCACCCGCGGUCAGGCCAGCAUCGGUUUGGGCGGCUGGACAAAAACCCCCGGAACGUAACUCCCCCCGGGGAGUGUUAUAGCCGGGGGUGCCAUGCAGCCCGCCCGGACCGAGGACCGC